rnacentral:tRNA from 1 species
GGCGUUAUGCCGGAUAAACGGGCUACUUUGAUGUUGUAGAAAAUUUAGGUGUAAAUCCUUCUGGCGCUU